rnacentral:lncRNA from 1 species
UUCUUCAAUAGUUAAAUUAACUAAUAAACCUCAUUUUCCCAACAUAUACAUCUCUUUUAUAUUCACACUUAAUCUCUUCACAUCAAUCACAUAUUUCAAGAUAAAUUGCAAAUAUAUAUACUUACCCACACUCAAAACACAUAAUUCAAAAUAUAUACAUAUCAUAAUAGUCUUAAUCUGUGCUGACAAUGCAGAAAGUGUCGCGAGUCCAUCAAUCUUUGCUUCCCUUGGCUUAGUCAUUCUCGUAUACGGCCAUUGAUAAUUAAAUUUUGUCAUGGUACCUG